rnacentral:lncRNA from 1 species
AUCUUUCAGUGAUAAGAAAUGUGAUUCUUACUCUCAAUGCUAGUAAUCAUUUUUUUAACUUAAUAUUGGGACAAAUUUGAUAAGUAUGCCCUAGAUGUGGGAUGAUGAGCCAAAGCAACAAGCUCAACAGAAAAGGAUCCUUGAGAAAAGAACCUUACAGACUUCCUUCCCUAAUGCUAUUGAUGGAAAGAUGGAAACUGAAAGAUCUCAGAAUGCAGUUUUGGAGAAGAUAAUUGCUGUUAAUGCAGCCACCAUAUUUCUAGACAUUUGUGAGGUCAUUGUGGAUACCAAGACAGAGUUUGAAGCCAACUGGAUACAUUCUGGAGAAUCUUUCCAUGGACUCUAUUUAUGGGCUACCCAUUCAACCUAUUUAUAUUGCUCAGAAAGUAGAACUAUCCUACAGAUGGAUAUGAAGAGCUACUAG